UUGAUAGUGAAACUAUUUUUUUUCUCGAGUGCUUUGAAAUUUUGCUUAAUAGUGUGAGGUUGAUGUGGAUGGAAUAAUGAGUUUUAUAGGGACUUUCUUAAUGUAAAACUAUACAUUUUUUUUUGUUUAAUGUGGUAUUUCCAUUUUUAUAUAAUUUACUACCAUUUAAAGAUAGAAGUACAUUUUAAGAUAGAUGCUUAAAUCUUAAUGUACUUUUUCCAUUUUUUAAUAUGUUUAUUUCCAUU
rnacentral:lncRNA from 1 species